UCAAAAGAUAAGCUAAUUAAGCUAAUGGGCUCAUACCUCGUUUAUGAGAGUAAACCUCUCUCUUUUC
rnacentral:tRNA from 1 species